CUUUACUGCAAGACCUUGCUGAACUGUAGAAGAGACAUAGGAGUUUGUAGAUUACAGGCUAAGACAUGGAAGUGUGGAAAUGUGCCUGGCUACUAUUAUGUAGUAUGAUAGUUUCUGCUGUGAAUAUCCAUUUUAAAUGGGUGGUUUAAGACAUAAUCCUUCCUGGAGGCAGAAGAAAUUGUUCAACAGUUAUGUAAAGUCUUUUGGAAAUCUGUAUGCCGAGACACAAGGAGGAAGUGCUUGCGGACUGGAGGGGGUGCCUGAGGAUCGGGGAUGGAGCACAGAGACAGAAGAAACAUUCAGCAAACUCGAAACAGCACCAUCGCGGGCAGAGAUACUGAACGGUGCCCUGGAGGAGAUGAGGAAGUAGGUCACAAGAAUAUCUGGAUUACUGAGUAUUUCAGAAAGAAGAAAUCGCAAGCCAGAAGAAUGAGGCAUUCUCAAGGAAUGGAGAGGAUAGACUGCUGAGGAAGAGCUGUGUUAUGUAGCACAGACUGGCUUCAAACUCAUAAUGUAGCAGAAAUAAUCUGAGGACUGAGACUCAUGCACCGCAAUGAAGUAGCAGCAGAGAAAACUGAGAAGAAACAGAAAAAUCUGAAAGGAGGAAGACCAGGAAGGAAGUUGUUUCCUCAUAGCAAAAUAAAAAUUUUUGAAGG